UAUUUGCAUUUUGAAAACGCUUCACGCUCAAAUGUUCAAACUUCACUUUAAAAAGAGACCUUGAGAAGUUUAUCGACGAGGGCAUCGAUAAAUGGGUGAAUCUUUUGAUACACAUUGAAAGUUAUUAAUCAAAGGUGUAUUUUGAUGCGAACUCAAAUGGGUUAUUUUAGCACUAGCAGCCUCGACAGUACAGGCUAUUUAAAUGUUUUGGUUUCAAAAAGAAGAGGAGAAAUCAACAAAAAAAACAAAAAAGAGGGGGCGGCAUUGUCUCGAACUCAACCCACUAUAAUUGUACCAGCUCUCAGUCUGCAUAGCACUUUAAUCGCCUGUACUAACACAACAACAUAUAUAAAAGCGACUUUUUUGUGACUGGAAUACUUGUAUCGGCACGAACAAUGAGUGGCUAAUGUGAUGCUUUGUUGAUUUCAUUGUCCAGCAAAACAAAAGCUUUCUUUUGUUUUGCAUUCAACAGAAAGAUGCCACUAGGAAAAGUGCCUUUUUUGCAUACGUUAUUUCUCAAAAACAAAGAGCAACCCAGCGAAAAAUAAAUUACAAGGCAAUGUUUUUAAGCUGAAAUGAAGUCCACAUGCAAAAAUUCAGCUAAUUUGGAGCAAAAAAAGCAACCAAAUUUGUCACUCCUCGCCUUUUAUGACUAGCUUCUUCAAAUGAAGUUUAUAGAUUGUACCUGUGUACCUUGACGUUAUUCAGAGGUGGAGUUAUUUUGUGAAUGUGUUCACUAAAGUACUUAAAGUACUUGUACAGGUGUAAAGAACAAUGCAAUAAGGUCUACCCAUCUACCAUGUAAUUGGCAUGCAAUCAUGCAGGUGUCCAAUUACAUGUAUCCAAAUUACAACCUUUUGUAAUUGGAUACUUAAGCCAUUCACAGAUCAAUAAUUAUUAUGCAUGCUUUAAUGGUUGAAUGUCAGAUGGCAUCCAUUUUGAAAGCAGAAUAUAUUUUCCUUGUGCAGGAACAAUUGCAUUAAUAUUCAUGCAUUAUCAAGUCCAACUGGGUCUUUCCCAGGUUCCACAUGGUUCAUUGAUCAACAGAACAGAAAUUUGAGCAGUAUCAAUUUCUGUUUUGUUGCUCCAAUUUCUGUUGCAUGGUGUUCAUGAUGUUUUAAAUUCCAUUCUGCUUGUGUAAUUUCAAAUCUCUCAUCAUAAAUUCUAUUCUGUUUGUUCAAUUUUCAGCAAAGAAUUUAUAAACUACAUGCAGGUUCCAUAUAACAGAAUUUGAAACAGGAUUUUGGUGGCGAUGACCGCUCAUAAGGAUCAACAUGAUUCUCCAAUUGUUAAUGUCUUAAAUGAGAAAACUUCAAGAUGGAUUUCUGAGGUAUUGUACGUUAUGAAUGUUGCUACUAUUCAAUAACUGCUUGGCAAGAAUAAUUGCUACAGUUUGCUUUUUUGAUAUUGUUCUGAAUUAUUCAGGGAUCUCUCAACAAAGCUAUGAAUAACAACAAUGGUAAUCAGCAUAUACUCAAAAUAAGGAAGAUCACACCAAUGAAAGUGGCACAAUAUCCAAAAUGUUGUUGCAAUAAUUUUUCGUGUUGAAAAGGCAAGUCUGGGUUUAUUCUUGACUGCUCAAAAAAUGACUGUUGACUUGUUUGUCAGAGUGGUCAAUAUUGCUGCAAAAGUAACGAUCCCAUGUUGUGCUCAGAAAGAAGGUACUGGCAAAAGGGCUGGCCUUUGCAAAGUCCAAGAUUGCUCUUUGAUGUUAAAAGCUACUACAAAAGACGACUGCAAAUUUUGUGGACACCAAUGACCAACAUUCUGAAAACAGUAAAGAGGAUUCUGACUUGAGUGAGGUGGAGUGGGAUGACAGUAGGGUGGAUAAGCCUGAUAGCAUAUUAGCAGAGCCCUCGUUGAAAGUUAAGGCGGGGUUUCACCUGAAUUUUGUGAAAAAAUGAAUUUUUGUUUUUUCUCAAAAUUGCAACUUUGACUAUUUAACAUUGGGAAAGGACUUUUUCGUUUUUCUUACCAUUUUGCGGUAAAUUAACAGUCGAUUUAAAAGAGGUGAAAAUCUGGGGAUGUGUUACCAUGGCCACGAUAAUAGCAUUUUUUGUUUUUCUUGGCUGUUUAUGGCCUUUUCUGACUGAUUUCUCGAGGAAACAGAAUGAGGUACUUGGUGACACAUACAUGACGGAACAUACUGCGAAUUGCACCCUGGAAUAUAUUUAAUAUUGAAACCGAAGGUUGAGAUCACUUUUUGAAAUACGUGUGUUCAAGAGUAGUGAAAAUAUUGUUGUAAAUGGCUGGGAAAAGGCAAAGAAGCCUCUACAGACCAAAAAGGGAAGGAAAAGGAUUUGGUGGGUGUAAAAAAGGGAAAAAUUUGGGGAAAAAAAAAGCAUCAGAAGAAGUAGAAAUCGAUCGAGCAAAACCGAGGACCUCUCACGAGGGAGCUGACGCUUCAGACUCUGAGGACUCUGAUCAAGCACUCAGUUCAUUGAUGAAGAAGAUGAAGCUGUUCCAUUCAACAGAAGAAUCACUGAAUAGCUCGGAUGAAGAAUCAACUGGGCAAUGCGAAGCAACUGGCUACAGACUAAUUGAUUUGCAAAGUCUAUCUUCAGUGCUCUCUGCAGCACACAAAUGCGAAGAAGGUGAAAAAAUUACCUUGACAGAUUUUACCAAACCAUUUGAUUGUUCUUCUGGGCUGAAAAACAAACCGAUUUCAGUGUAUAAUUUAACUUUGUGAUUUUGUCGCUUUGAUUUUGUUGUUUGUGCUUAAAUAUUUUGGCACUUGUAUUUCUGUAUUUAUUGAACUAGGAAUUUUGUUUUCAAAUGACAUGCAACAGAUGCCACACUAGACAUUUCAAAUAAACAGUGUCUUAUACUGUAUGUCUUUUUGUUUCUUCAAGAAACUGAAAGUGGUCAGGCAAGGUUAAAGUCUGACCUUCUCCUCAUUUGCAGUGCUUGUGACGAAAGCACUUCACUCCAGACAUCUGCCAACAUCACAAAAAGGGGAAAGUCCAUCGAUGUAAACAAAAGAGCUGUUUUCCACUCUCUGGAAUCGGGGACUGGUUAUGAAGGGCUUGGAUCCUUCUGUGGAAUCAUGAACAUGCCUUGUAUGUCGACAAGUGCCUACUACAAACAGGUAGACCGCAUCCUAGGCAUUGCACAAGAUUACACAAUGGAAGAGCUCAAAAGUGCAGGUCAGAGGCUACGAAACAUCAUCCUUGAUGAAAAUUCGGAGCUUGACAUUAAUGAGACUUUGGAUGCAGCUGUUAGCUUUGAUGGCACCUCAGCCAAGCAAGGCUUUACCUCUAACAAUCUCAGUAGACAGUGGUGAGGUUUUGGACUACGCUGUCUUGUCAAAAGCUUGCCAAAAGUGUGCUCGCAAAGAGUCACAGUUUGAAGGGGAAGACGAGAGCUUUCAGGAGUGGAGGAGAGAACAUGUGGCCUCUGGUGAGUGCGAUAUUAAUUUUAAUGGUAGCUCACCAGCCAUGGAAGCUGAAGGAGCUUCUAUCCUUUGGAGAAGAUCCACUGAAAUGCAUAACAUGAGAUACAAGUGGAUGGUCUCAGACGGGGACAGCAAAGCAUUCAACACUGUCAAGAAUGGUGAUUAAGUUGGAUUGUGUUGGCCAUGUCCAAAAGAGGAUGGGCAAACACCUUUUAAACUUGAAAGCAUGGACAAAAGGCAAACUGGAGGAUGGCAAACCCAUACAGGGGCAUGGCAGGCUCACUGAAACCAAAAUUAAGAAGCUACAAAAAUAUUAUGGCCUCACAAUACAUCAAAAUACUCUAAAAAAAGUCCAAUCCAACUGACAGAGAAGUUGAUGUUGCCAUCUAUACCAUGAAGAAGAAUAUCAUAGCAACUCUUAACCACAGUGUUAAGGGACAGGAUCCUGCUAAACAGCACCACUUCUGUCCUGUUGGAGAAACUUCAUGGUGUAAGUGGCAACAGGAUCAGGCAACAGGGACAAGCACCUACAGAGAUGAUGAGUGUUUGCCUGAGGCAUUUCUUGAACUUGUAAGGCCAUCAUUCAUGACACUGAGUGAUACAAAACUUCUCAAGAGAUGCAUUCGUGGGACCACUCAAAAUGUAAAUGAAUGUAUCAACUCUAUGGUUUGGGUGCGUUGCUCCAAGCAUAAGCAUCAUGGUGCUAAGGUCAUUCAAUACUCUGCUGCCUCAGCUGUUUGCCACUUCCACAAGGGAGCAGAAUGUACAAAGGACAUCAUGGAUAAACUUUCAAUUUCUGGUGGGACACACACCAGCCAUGCCUUCAGGCUAAAGGAUAACUAGCGUUUGCAGAAAGCAGACAACCAAGCUACGGCCAAGGAAAAGAAGCGCCGCCAGGCAGUCCACCUUGUUCGCACACGACGAGAAGAAGUCCUUCAGGACCUUGAAGGAAUUACUUAUGAGGCUGGGGGAUUCUGAUUGGUUACCUGUUGCCUCUAGAAACUAAAUCUGACUAGUUUUCCAACCAUUGUUUUUGUUCAAGAUUCAUCAUAAUAUAUAAUCUGUUAUAAACUUUACGUCUGUUUUCUCAAAACGACAGAUUUUCACCUUUGAGAAAAGAUAUCUAAAGAAGGAUUUAAGCUAUUGACCUGAAAUUUUCAGGACAGUUGGUGCUCAUUUAAUAAAUUGAUAUAAAUGAAGGAAUUUUCCAAAGGCUUGCUGGGGAAAAAAUGACCAAUUAAUAUUCACCUAGUUUUUCAGCAUGUAACUUGAGAUGGUUCCUUUGAUGUGUGAUGUUAUAAUUUUGUAAAAUCCUUCAUUCAUAUCAACAAUUAGUUCUUAUUCUUUGAAAUGACAUAAAAAGUUUAUUUUCUAUCAAAUUUAUAAAGAGAAAUCCAUGGGUUUUGCACUGCAGGUGGUACUUUUGACAGCCUGGUGUCAAGUUACUUUUGCUGUUACGCAAAAACAGCCAUUUUUAGAAUCUUUGGUUUGUAAGCUUUCCAGUGAUAUAUAGUUUGCCAUGGUUUGGAUUAAAACUGUUAGAGCUACUGAAGAUACAAAAAGUGUGCUUUUUUCAGGUGAAACCCUUCCUUAUACCAGUUCUCUCUUUUGAUGGUGAUAUGACUACUUGGAUAUUCCUGGCAGAAUUCAAGUCAAGCAACAAUGGCUGUAGUGGUAGCAGUGCUUGCAGUGAUAUUUCCCUGGCUGUGGCUCACACGUUUUUAACUUUAGCCAUUCAUUUUCUGCUUGGAAGCCACCUGUCCCUCUGUUGGACCAAGCUUUUGUGUUUUGCCACAGCACUAUUUGAAUGCCAUAGAAGGUGCUGAAUUGUUCUGCAGUUAUGACCCUGUCAGAGUUGGACAGCCAUACCCUGUAAGAAUGUAAGACCAGCAUCCCUUUUCCACCAUCGAGCAGCAACUUCAUGUCAGAAGAACAAAAAAAAACAGUGCGGCACUAUUUAUUCAUGAUGAAAAGGCUGUUGCUUUUCAGUUUGUCCAAGAUAGCACUAUCUAAGCUAGCAUAUGGUACAGCUAUUACAGUUGCUAAUAGCUUAACUUGUCUGUGUCAUGCAGUUUUAGCAAAUUUACUCUUGUAGAAAGUUAGCAAUUCAAUUUAGGUUGUUUGAGUUGUCUAGCAGGCUUUCUAACUCCACUGGAUAAGAUGUUGGUCUAUCGCUAACAUCUGUGUCCUCCCCUUCCACACUAUGCCAAGUUGCCCUGCAAAAUUUUUUGUGGUAAAACGGUAAAUUACUGUUAAUUUUGAAACAACAUAGGUUAAGUUAACUUAAAUUAAUCUUAUGCUAUAGAAUACAAUUAAAAAAUAAAAACAAGUGACCACAUCUUUUUGUUUUGCUUGUUUUUACUAUGUACCAUGCAUUGAGCAUAGUUCCAUGGCUGUAUCCUUUGCCAUCAAGCCAAAGUGCCAAGGCAAGUGUUAAGUCAAGAUUUUAAUCCUAUAAGGCCUAAGAAUGUGAAUUUACACUCCAUUGUAAAAGCUCUGAAAUCGGAAAAGUGCAAAUCAGCACUCUUUCAGAUACCAUCUUUUAUUGUUGCUCAAUGGUUACCAAGCACUAUCACCCAAUCAGAUGAAGUGUCAGAUUGAGUCUUGCCAGGCUAAUGGAAUGGGUUUUAUACAAAAUAUGUGACAAAUCUGACUUUGUUCACAUCAGUUACUAUUUUUUACUACUUUUAUUUACUCUAUUACUAUUUCAAUCUGCGAAAUGGCAGCUGUAGAUACUCUGAUGAAUCGGACUUUCAAGACGAAGAAGGAGACAAUAGUGGCAGUAAAAGCGACAGUUUCAUUUCAAAUGUAAAUACUGAUGAUCUUUCUCGGAAGAUGAAGGCAAUGAAGACAGGUGGAGUCGCGAUCCAGCACCAGUAAACACAACUCCUUUCGUAUCAAGAACGGGAGCUGUUAGUAGUAUUCCAGUAGACAGCACUGCAAAAGGCUUUUUCAACCCUUUUGUCUCUGAUGAAGUGUCUGAGGCCUUUGUGGAAGAAACCAAUCGAUACACGAGGCUAUGCAUUGCGCAUAAACCAAAUCAAAGAUUGCAAGAAACUAACAUGGAACAAAUUAAGCUCACUUCGGGCCCAACAUUCUGUUUCGUAUCAAGAAGCUUCCUGAUAUUGACUUGUAUUGGUCAAAGGAUGCAGCUGUUGGUGUUCCUUCUGUGCAAGAAGUAAUGCAUAGAGUAAUUCAUAUCAAUGACAAUGAAAAGGCUGCUCAACACAGACACCUUGACCAUGACUAGCUAUUCAAAACUGGUCCUUUGUUUGAGGCUAUCAACAAAAAGUUCUUGAAGAAUAUCAACCAUUACAAAACCUCGAUGAAGCAACGGUCGUAUAAAUACACGCCAACUCAUGUCUAUCUCUCACUUUAAAGGGGAACUAGCAACGAAACAAUAUCUCCCCAUCAAUCCCGAGAAAAGGGGAAUUAAAGUGUGGUUGUGUGGUGACGUGUCAAAUGUUUUUUAUUUUAUAAGUACCGAGAUUUAUCCAGAGAUGACAGUGAUGAAAAAUUGUUCUGUCUUUAGUCGCAGCCAAUCAGCGACGCGAUUUCACUAAUGAAAAAUCAUUGUUCGCAGCAUCUGAUUGGACGAAUGAUGUUUUUCACUAGUGAAAAGUGAUCAUACGGCAAGCCACGUCAUCCUUGGCACAAAAGCUGGCAAGCCACCUUUUUAUUUUCAAGAUGUCGUAAAGGUUUGUGGACGUCAGUUCAGUUGACAAUUUUAUUACAGAACAAGAAAACAAAGCCACAUUACAAAAAACACAAUGAGUUGCAAAACUUUUGCAAACCUUUUUAGGAACCAGGAACGAACUUAGAAAAGUUGAAGAAAUUCCAGCAUUGGAGUUAAACGAAUACAUCUGCAAGUGUAUCAUUUCGAUCAGAACCAAAGAUGGGAAAGACUAUGAGCCUUCUUCACUCCGAAGUCUAUUGGCAAGUUUUGAACGACAUCUAAAAAAGAACAGCU